GUCUUUUUGAAGUUAAUUUAAAGUCUGACCUGCCCACUGAGAAUUUAAAUGGCCGCAGUAUUUUGACUGUGCAAAGGUAGCAUAAUCAUUAGUUUUUUAAUUAAAAGCUGGAAUGAAAGGUCGAACGAGAAAAAUUCUGUCUCUUUAUUAAUUAUUUAGAAUUUUAUUUUUAAGUUAAAAAGCUUAAAUUUUAUUAAAAGACGAGAAGACCCUAUAGAGUUUUAUAAAAGAUUUAAUUUUAAUUUAAUUUGAAUUAUAAAAAUUAUAAUUUUUAAUUUAUUUAAUUGGGGUGAUUGAAAAAUUUAAUUAACUUUUUUUUAAUUUAAACAUUUAUUUAUGAUAAAUUGAUCCAUAUUAAUGAUUAUAAGAUUAAAUUACCUUAGGGAUAACAGCGUAAUUUCUUUUAAGAGUUCUAAUCGAUAAAGAAGUUUGCGACCUCGAUGUUGGAUUAAAAUAUAAUUUUGGUGUAGAAGCUAGAAUAUUAGGUCUGUUCGACCUUUAUAAUUUUACAUGAUCUGAGUUUAAACCGGUGUAAGCCAGGUUGGUUUCUAUCUUUAAUUUAUUAUAAUAUUUCAGUACGAAAGGACCUAAUAUUAAUAAUAAUUUAUUUAAUUUUGAUUAAUAUU
rnacentral:rRNA from 1 species